GUGCGCUCUACGCGCAUCUGAGUUUGAAAGUAGCCAACGCGUGUUUAUAUAGACUGGAUACUUUGGUACAGGUUGACACACUCAACGAAGCAGGGGCUGAACAGUCAGGAGGCGGGUUAUGGAUCUUUGUAGUAAAACGUUAAUUGGCUACACAAGAUCAUAACAUGAAUAAUACAUUUCAUAAGACGCAUGACCAAUUGUAGCUUACGUUUUCUUCUUUAGCCAAUUGAAACAUAAAGCAGGCACUAAAUUGAUUGAAAUGCUCACCAUUGGUCAGAACAGAGCAGAGGCGGGGCUACAAUGUAAAUAUGGUUGUAGUUCUAUAAAUAUUCAAUAAAAUGCAGUGUGGUUGGUCAAUUACCUCAUUAAUAAACAGAGAUUAACCAAUGGCUAUAGAGAUACGAUGGCGUUGGAAAACCCCGCCUUAUUUCCGAUUUUUGCCGAACUUCACCGAUUCUUAUUUUUCCUCUCUAAGCUAUUUUUUUUUUUUAAAUCCGUGUUGUCUCGUUCGUCUCGCUCUGGAUAGGCUACAACUCUUGGAAAAGAAGCUCGUUCACGAGGCCUACCUCGACCUUUCGGAAAUCAAAGACUUAUUUAAAGUGGUUUUUCGCUUAGUAUUAUUAUUUUUAAACCAGUUAAAACUAGUCAUUUUUCUUAUUUUUUUAAGAAGAUGUCGAAGUUACUAUUACUUUACAACAACAUUUUGGUUUUUUACGGGACUACGCGAGAAUCCUCGGUCUCAAGUGGAAACCAUGCCGGCGUGGUCAGUGUUAUUUGAAGUACUCCAACUGGGAAAAUCCGACAAAAGCCUGCGGUGUUUAAUACAAUAACGGUGAAAGACGUUACCGUAAUUUAUAACGGGAAAGCUUGAAAUACUAGUUUUUAGAGUACAUUUCGUUAAUGUUAUGUACAUUUUUAUUUAUAUUCUGAAAUAGGGACGAGAUUGGAAGGCCACGUCUAAAACGAAGUGACCCAGCUUGGCUUUGGCGGUAACUGUCUAGACGGCAAGCCAAAGUCUAUGUAAAAUCCGAUUUCCACAUAGUAGUACUAGAAUAUUUGGUUCCGCAGAAAACAAAAGUUUGUUCCAAUUAGGCACCAUACCUGACCAACUAAUUGGUCAUUUCGGCGAUUGCCCAAAUUCAACACACUUUCCCUUUUCACUCCAGGACCAGCGUUGCCUACCCCUGGCUAAGUAGUUAGCACGAUGUAGCUCAUGUUAGUUGCCAGCUAGCUAACGUCGGUACCCCUUUGUAGGCACUGUUAAAACCCGCGAUUGAAUAGGCUAUGCAACUAACGAUGGAAAAUUAGCAACAAAUGUUUUAUACUAUUUUAGCGCUGGUUUUGUUUAAAUAUCACCGAGUACAAUAGAGACGCAUUGGCUUGCUAGUUAGUUUCAUUUUUUAAAUAGGAAAACAUCUAGCUAAUAUACCUAGCUAGUUACAAGCAAAAUGGCAUCCGGAGCGACCAGGUACCAGAAGUGUUUUCACCAUGGAAGGACCUGGUUGUUGCCACUGACUGGCUCAGGAGUGGACCAGCCACUGUAGACAUUGUUCACAAAACUCUUGCUACAGAACAUUACCACAAGACCAAGAGGUCUUCAACUAAAAAUGUACACCUAAAAGCUGAUGUAACAUAUUGUAGAAUGUUGUCCCCCUUAACAACUUUUUUGUUUGUUCUUGCAUGAGUGUGUAGCUAGGAGGACUUUUUAAAGACUAAAGCAAGUAGGUUUAACAGGGAGGUUGUUCCAGAUAUAUGAUCACAUUGAUUGCACUGCAUCGGUUGAUUUUUAAACGGCAUGUCCAUAAACCAAUCGGUUUGCAUUACCGAUUUGCAAAUACUUUUCUUAGUGGCUAGGCUCUUCUGUAUGCUGUUCCUUUUUAAAGUAUAGAAUGGUAGUUGCAAAUGUACACCCCCGAUUGUUGAGUGAUUUUAAAUGAAAGGAUUGUAGUAACUGUAUUUUGUUUAAAGUAAUAAAGAAAUCAAAGUUA